GGGAACAUACCCUUUUCUACGGAAUAGCUCUGGGAAACUGGAAUUAAUACCGUAUACGCCCUACGGAGGAAAGAUUUAUCGGGGAAGGAUUGGCCCGCGUUGGAUUAGCUAGUUGGUGGGGUAAAGGCCUACCAAGGCGACGAUCCAUAGCUGGUCUGAGAGGAUGAUCAGCCACAUUGGGACUGAGACACGGCCCAAACUCCUACGGGAGGCAGCAGUGGGGAAUAUUGGACAAUGGGCGCAAGCCUGAUCCAGCCAUGCCGCGUGAGUGAUGAAGGCCUUAGGGUUGUAAAGCUCUUUCACCGAUGAAGAUAAUGACGGUAGUCGGAGAAGAAGCCCCGGCUAACUUCGUGCCAGCAGCCGCGGUAAUACGAAGGGGGCUAGCGUUGUUCGGAAUUACUGGGCGUAAAGCGCACGUAGGCGGAUAUUUAAGUCAGGGGUGAAAUCCCAGAGCUCAACUCUGGAACUGCCUUUGAUACUGGGUAUCUUGAGUAUGGAAGAGGUAAGUGGAAUUGCGAGU
rnacentral:rRNA from 1 species